rnacentral:rRNA from 1 species
AGAGUUUGAUCCUGGCUCAGAUUGAACGCUGGCGGCAUGCCUUACACAUGCAAGUCGAACGGUAACGCGGGGCAACCUGGCGACGAGUGGCGAACGGGUGAGUAAUGCAUCGGAACGUGCCCAGUAGUGGGGGAUAGCCCGGCGAAAGCCGGAUUAAUACCGCAUACGACCUACGGGUGAAAGCGGGGGACCGUAAGGCCUCGCGCUAUUGGAGCGGCCGAUGUCAGAUUAGGUAGUUGGUGGGGUAAAGGCCUACCAAGCCUACGAUCUGUAGCUGGUCUGAGAGGACGACCAGCCACACUGGGACUGAGACACGGCCCAGACUCCUACGGGAGGCAGCAGUGGGGAAUUUUGGACAAUGGGCGCAAGCCUGAUCCAGCCAUGCCGCGUGCGGGAAGAUGGCCUUCGGGUUGUAAACCGCUUUUGUCAGGGAAGAAAUCCUUUGGGUUAAUACCCCGGGGGGAUGACGGUACCUGAAGAAUAAGCACCGGCUAACUACGUGCCAGCAGCCGCGGUAAUACGUAGGGUGCAAGCGUUAAUCGGAAUUACUGGGCGUAAAGCGUGCGCAGGCGGUUUUGUAAGACAGAGGUGAAAUCCCCGGGCUCAACCUGGGAACUGCCUUUGUGACUGCAAGGCUUGAGUGCGGCAGAGGGGGAUGGAAUUCCGCGUGUAGCAGUGAAAUGCGUAGAUAUGCGGAGGAACACCGAUGGCGAAGGCAAUCCCCUGGGCCUGCACUGACGCUCAUGCACGAAAGCGUGGGGAGCAAACAGGAUUAGAUACCCCGGUAGUCCAA